rnacentral:rRNA from 1 species
GCAUAUCAAUAAGCGGAGGAAAAGAAACCAACAGGGAUUGCCCUAGUAACGGCGAGUGAAGCGGCAACAGCUCAAAUUUGAAAUCUGGCUCACGCCCGAAUUGUAAUUUGUAGAGGAUGCUUUUGGUGCGGUGCCUUCUGAGUUCCCUGGAACGGGACGCCGAAGAGGGUGAGAGCCCCGUAUAGUCGGACACCAAGCCUUUGUAAAGCUCCUUCGACGAGUCGAGUAGUUUGGGAAUGCUGCUCAAAAUGGGAGGUAAAUGCCUUCUAAAGCUAAAUACCGGCCAGAGACCGAUAGCGCACAAGUAGAGUGAUCGAAAGAUGAAAAGCACUUUGAAAAGAGGGUUAAAUAGUACGUGAAAUUGUUGAAAGGGAAGCGCUCAUGACCAGACUUGCGCCCUGUGAAUCACCCAGCGUUCUCGCUGGUGCACUUCGCUAGGUUCAGGCCAGCAUCGAUUUUCUUAGGGGGAUAAAAGUGACGGGAACGUAGCUCUUUCGGGAGUGUUAUAGCCCGCUGCAGAAUACCUCUGAGGGGAUCGAGGACCGCGCUUCGGCAAGGAUGCUGGCGUAAUGGUCAUCAGCGACCCGUCUUGAAACACGGACCAAGGAGUCAAGCAUUAGGGCGAGUGUUUGGGUGUCAAACCCGCACGCGAAAUGAAAGUGAAUGUAGGUGAGAGCUUCGGCGCAUCAUCGACCGAUCCUGAUGUAUUCGGAUGGAUUUGAGUAAGAGCCUUACCGCUUGGACCCGAAAGAUGGUGAACUAUGCUUGGAUAGGGUGAAGCCAGAGGAAACUCUGGUGGAGGCUCGCAGCGGUUCUGACGUGCAAAUCGAUCGUCAAAUCUGAGCAUGGGGGCGAAAGACUAAUCGAACCAUCUAGUAGCUGGUUACCGCCGAAGUU